AUUGAACGCUGGCGGCAGGCCUAACACAUGCAAGUCGAACGAGUGGCGGACGUGAGCGUAAUGUCUGGGAAACUGCCUGAUGGAGGGGGAUAACUACUGGAAACGGUAGCUAAUCACGUAUACUCACGGAUGUGCCCAGAUGGGAUUAGAUAGUAGGUGGGGUAAAGGCUCACAUUGGCGACGCUCCCGAGCUGGUCUGAGAGGAUGACCAGCCACACUGGAACUGAGACACGGUCCAUACUCCGACGGGAGGCAGCAGUGGGGAAUAUUGCACAAGGGGCGCAAGCCUGAUGCAGCCAUGCCGCGUGUGUGAAGAAGGCCUUCGGGUUGUAAAGCACUUUCAGCGAGGAGGCGUUACUCGCAGAAGAAGCACCGGCUAACUCCGUGCCAGCAGCCGCGGUAAUUC
rnacentral:rRNA from 1 species